AAAAAGUUAAAUACAUUUUAAAAACGCUCAUUACCACUACACCUAGAGAAAAAAUUAUCCCACGCUUAGGUUCAAAAUAUGCCUUUUGAAUUACCCCAAGGGUGUAUUCUUUAAUAAAUAGUAUGUGUUUGUGGGGAAGUUUCAAUAACCAACCGUCUAAACUACUCCAAAUUGGAACAUGGACACAGCGUAAAACAUCAAAGUUCGAAAAAAACUGAAUGGCUGUGUCUCAAAUGCGCCCCUUCAACAUCCACAUAUACCUGGCAAAGGUACAUACGGGGGUAUUGCUGUACUCAGCC